rnacentral:lncRNA from 1 species
GUUCAGCCCUUAGGGAAGAAAGCCUGUGGCCUUUAGCAAGCAAGGAUGGGGGUGUAACCAGGCUCAUCAGACCUCCCAUCCCCUCACAGCCACAGACCCAGCUUUAAGGUUACUCUGGGGCCCCCUUGGCCAAGAGGAGAGUCUGUUCGUUUCCCAGAUGGAAGAUUCAUUCUUACUGCAGAUCUUAGCAACCUCAGCACAUGACUCUUUUUCUUUCCUCAUUAAGUCAAGAACCUUUGGCCUUUUCACUUAAAAGAAGCACUCUAAGGCUUCGCUUUGACAUACCCCAGUUGCCAGCAUCACUACUGUUUGGGACCAUUAGGAAGUAAAUUCAGGGAGACUUGAACACAAGCACUGCUUAUCUCGAAAGCUGAUCUGCUCACCGAGGUGGCCCUUGAGCAUGGACAGCCUGGAUCUGCUGGGUGAAGGGAGAAGUUAUGUCCAGGGUGGGACAGAGAGGAUGGCGAGAGAUUUCCUCACUACUCAGAACAGCGGGAAAUUCAAAACUUAGGGAUUAUUUCUGAAAUUUUCCAUUUAAAAUUGACCAAGGGUAACUGAAACCAGAGAAAGCAAGACUGACGAUAAGGGAGGGGCCUCCUGUACUCCAAGAGCACUGAAUCUGGAAAAACUCAACACAUCGAUGGAGUCAUAUAUUUAAUUUUUUCUUAAAAGCCACCUGUGGGGUAUUGUAGAAACGCUGCGCUGCCUAUCACAGCUUGUGAUGUGACACGUUCAUUCUGCAAGUUUAAACUUCGCCUAGGUGUUUCUUUUCCUGUGUGACCGUCACAUAACUAGUUUUGUUGUGCAUUGUUGUAGAAGUUAACAUGUUUCCCUAUCAAAAGAAUGUCAUCCUCUAUUUUCUCUGUUUCUUUUAAGCUUUUUUCAUAUAGUUGGCCUUUUGUUAAUGGUCAGCAUUUAUGGCUUUUUGCAGACAGCAUCUCUUUGAGCAACAAUUUCUUGAAAUAAAAAAAUAUAUUCUUGGCCAGGCGUGGUGGCUCACGCCUGUAAUCCCAGCACUUUGGGAGACCAAGGUGGAUGGAUCACUUGAGAUCAGGAGUUCAAGACCAGCCUGAUCAACAUGGCGAAACCCCAUCUCUACUAAAAAUACAAAAAUUAGCCGACCGUGCUGGUGUGCACCUGUAAUCCCAGCUACUUGGGAGGUUGAGACAGGAGAAUCACUUGGACCUGGGAGGCAGAGGUUGCAGUGAGCCAAGAUGGUACCACUGCACUCCAUCCUGGGCAACAGAGCAAGACUCUGUCUCAAAUAUAUAUAUAUUUUCGCUAGUUGGCUUUAGACUCUUGACCCCAGCUUAUAGUUGUUUUUGUUAAAGACCUGUAUUAUUAUGGUCUCUCCAUGGGAAUUAUGGUUUUAAAAUUAUUUUAUUCAUUCAGCAAAUCUUUAUGAG